CGACGAACGCACCUACUUGGCUUGCCUCUUUAGGUCGAGGUUCGCUGGUGUUCGCGUACCACCACACACGUUCGCGACACGCACUCACACGUUGGUCACUCGUGUGCCUCGAUAUGUAGGAGAGGCUGAACCACUUGGUCACGGGCGUGCAGCACGCACGCCUAUAUUCGACGCAAAGUCCACGAUCCGAUCUUUUCAAUUUUCCAAUUGUAAAUUAGCGCCUUAAAUGGUUGGUAAAAAAAGGCGUCGUAGAAGCGUGAGUGUACGGGAACGAAACGACCGGAAACAUCGACCACUCAUCAAGAGGGAAGUUCUCUCAGCCAUGUUUGUCAGCCAUUGAGGCUUCUAUCGAGGAUAAACGUUAGAAAUAAACGACCAACGAGGGAAAAUUAUAGUGGAAAAAUAAGGGAAGAAACAAAACAUUCCUACCACACACGAAGACGCGGAACGAUCUUGGUCGAUACACACAAAGAUAUGUGCUCUGUAUUACCGACGAGCCUCGCAGCGACGAUAGCGGUAAGCGCGGAGGCACAUAAGAGGGAGGGGUAAACGAGCCGAGCCACGAUUUCGUCGUCGUAAACGUCAACGUUACGGUUACAGCGUUGUUCCUAGCUGGUUUAUAUUGAACGAGGUUGCUCCCCGAGGUACGUAACACCUACUGGCAACCGUCGUAUCGUCGAGUAGCACCAUACUCGUUUCCAACCCGACAGAGAGAGAGAGAGAGAGAAAGGGAGAGAGAGAGAGACAGAGAGAGUGAGAAAGAAAGAGGAAGAGAGAAGCGGGUGAGACCACGUGGCUUUUACGCGGGAAUCCCACUGCUUCGGCACAAGAGUUCAA